rnacentral:rRNA from 1 species
CCUACGGGGGUCUGCAGUGGGGAAUAUUGCACAAUGGGGGAAACCCUGAUGCAGCGACGCCGCGUGAGUGAAGAAGUAUUUCGGUAUGUAAAGCUCUAUCAGCAGGAACGAGACAAGACGGUACCUGACUAAGAAGCCCCGGCUAACUACGUGCCAGCAGCCGCGGUAAUACGUAGGGGGCAAGCGUUAUCCGGAAUCACUGGGUGUAAAGGGAGCGUAGACGGCUGUGCAAGCCUGAAGUGAAAGGCGGGGGCCCAACCCCUGGACUGCUUUGGGAACUGUACGGCUGGAGUGCAGGAGAGGUAAGUGGAAUUCCUAGUGUAGCGGUGAAAUGCGUAGAUAUCACGAAGAACUCCGAUUGCGAAGGCAGCCUACUAAACUGCCACUGACAUUGAUGCUCGAAAGUGUGGGUAUCAAACAGGAUUAGAUACCCUUGUAGUC